AGUGCAGGUCUGCAGGAAGGGCCUGCCUCCACUCAUGCAGGUACCUGGGAUCACCUGUCCAUUGGCUACACUGCCCUUUAGGGCCUCCAAAUCCCCAGCUGAAUUAUUCCCAUCCAUCUAGUAGGAAAGGAAAAAAGAAUGUUGAAGGAUCAUGCAAAAUGUUUUAGGGGCCAGUCCUGGACGUAAAAUAUGUUACAUUGGCUAGAAUGCUGUUACACAUUGCCACCUAUUUCAAGAGAUGCUGAGAUUUGGAGUCUUCUUGGGUGCCCAGAGAUUUGAGUAUCACCUAGCACUGUUUCUGCUUCAGGGAAAUGGAAGUAGAACUCUGAAGCUAAAUCAGAGGACUCCAAGCAAAUGAAGUGACUGAAAGCAAGAAUGGCUCAUUGCCCUUGAGCUACACAGAAAUGUAUAGGUGGGUGUAUUGGGUCGGUUCCCUGGAAGCACAACCUCAGAUGGGGAUUCUUGUGCAAAAGAUACACGGAGGAAGAGCUCAAGGAAGUAACUUGCAAUGAAGCAAGGGGAGCAAGCUGGAGCAGGAGAAAAGAUCAGGCAAAGGCAUGCUUUCAGAAGUCUAGCCUCGGCCUCAUCCACAGGGAGCUCCAGAGAGUGAAUGGUACCAUGCAGCUGGUCAACCUUCUUGGAGGAGGGAGCUGCUGAUAGCCUUCAGUAGACAGCACUUGCACUAGCCAAGGGAUGAGUGCACCAGCCCAGUGGAGGGGAUCUGGGUAGAGCACCUAUGCCAUCUGCUAUAAUAGGAAGGACAUGCUUUUCCUUUUCGUAUCCUCUACCUGAAGCAAUAUAUCACGUACUCAGCAGACGCUCAAUAAGUGUUUGAGAAAUGAAGAAACAAAAAGACAGAGGGAAGGAGAGAAGAAAAGAAACAAGAUUACAGAAAAUUCUAAAAUACUCUUGGGCUCCAAGAAAUGCAUCUUCAAAUAAGGAACUUCACAUACUUAUGCUGAGCAAUGAGAGAGAUAUUUUGAGAAACCUGAAAAAAUAAGAGAACUUUGAGUUUUCAGUGCUCUGGAAAUGGCAAAAAGGAAUCCCGCCAUGGACGACCUGCUCCUUGCUCCAGCCUGGCCAGUGCUUUGAAGUGAUAACACCAAGAGUUGCUGUUUAGGAAGGCAAGGAAGAAACAUCAGUGUCUCGUCUAGCCUCAGAAAAAAACGACUUCCUAUUUUUACUACUGUUAUGAAUCCCUCACUCAUGGACACCUUUGUGACGUGACUUCCAAGUUGCUAUUCUAUUUUCUGGCUGGAACCUGCAAACUCCAAUCUGGAAGUAUAUCUCUUUAGGGAAAGGGAAGGAAGACCAGAACCAGUGUUUAUUAAAUACCUACUAAAUGUCAAAUUUACUAUGCAUAGCUCUACAUAUGCUAUAUAAAUUACCCAUGAAAAAAA
rnacentral:lncRNA from 1 species